CCCAGGUCAGGCGGGGCUACCCGCUGAGUUUAAGCAUAUCAAUAAGCGGAGGAAA
rnacentral:rRNA from 1 species